rnacentral:rRNA from 1 species
CGAAGGCAGCUUACUGGAUUGUAACUGACGCUGAUGCUCGAAAGUGUGGGUAUCAAACAGGAUUAGAUACCCUGGUAGUCCACACAGUAAACGAUGAAUACUCGCUGUUGGCGAUAUACGGUCAGCGGCCAAGCGAAAGCAUUAAGUAUUCCACCUGGGGAGUACGCCGGCAACGGUGAAACUCAAAGGAAUUGACGGGGGCCCGCACAAGCGGAGGAACAUGUGGUUUAAUUCGAUGAUACGCGAGGAACCUUACCCGGGCUUAAAUUGCAACUGACUGAACCGGAAACGGUUCUUUCUUCGGACAGUUGUGAAGGUGCUGCAUGGUUGUCGUCAGCUCGUGCCGUGAGGUGUCGGCUUAAGUGCCAUAACGAGCGCAACCCUUAUCGAUAGUUACUAGCAGGUCAUGCUGAGGACUCUAUUGAGACUGCCGUCGUAAGAUGUGAGGAAGGUGGGGAUGACGUCAAAUCAGCACGGCCCUUACGUCCGGGGCUACACACGUGUUACAAUGGGGGGUACAGAAGGCAGAUACACAGCGAUGCGAUGCUAUUCUCAAAAGCAUCUC